rnacentral:tRNA from 1 species
UGGGCUGUGGCUCAGUGGUAGAGCACUGGCCUAGCAUGUGUAAGGCCCUGGGUUAAAACCUCAGCAGCACAU